GACGAACGCUGGCGGCGUGCUUAACACAUGCAAGUCGAACGGAAAGGUCCUGCUUUUGUGGGGUGCUCGAGUGGCGACCGGGUGAGUAACCCGUGAGUUACCUGCCGUUGACUUUGGGAUGACUUCAGGACACUGGGGCUCAUACCGGGUAGGAGCUCCUGCUGCAUGGUGGGGGUUGGAAAGUUUCGGCGGUUGGGGAUGGACUCGCGGCUUAUCCGCUUGGUGGUGGGGUAGUGGCUUACCAAGGCUUUGAGGGGUAGCAGGGCUGGGAGGGUGAGCGGCCAAACUGGGCCUGGAAUACGGCACAGACCACUACGGGAGGCAGCAGUGGAGAGGAGUGCACUAGAGGCGGAAGGCUGAUGCAGCAACGCCGCGUGGGGGAAGACAGCCAGGGGUUUGGAUUCUGCUGCUGUCUCUGAUGAGGCGAUAGUGACGGUAACAGGAGAAGAAGCCCCGGCUAACUACGUG
rnacentral:rRNA from 1 species